ACUUCUUAUUGUAACAUUAUUGAAGGUUUGGGGAACUUGUUAUUGUAACAUUAUUGAAGGUUUGGGGAACUUGUUAUUGUAAGAUUAUUGAAGGUUUGGGGAACUUGUUAUUGUAAGAUUAUUGUAAGAUUAUUGAAGGUUUGGGGAACUUGUUAUUGUAACAUUAUUGUAACAUUAUUGAAGGUUUGGGGAACUUGUUAUUGUAACAUUAUUGAAGGUUUGGGGAACUUGUUAUUGUAAGAUUAUUGUAAGAUUAUUGAAGGUUUGGGGAACUUGUUAUUGUAACAUUAUUGUAACAUUAUUGAAGGUUUGGGGAACUUGUUAUUGUAACAUUAUUGAAGGUUUGGGGAACUUGUUAUUGUAAGAUUAUUGUAAGAUUAUUGAAGGUUUGGGGAACUUGUUAUUGUAACAUUAUUGUAACAUUAUUGAAGGUUUGGGGAACUUGUUAUUGUAACAUUAUUGAAGGUUUGGGGAACUUCUUAUUGUAACAUUAUUGAAGGUUUGGGGAACUUGUUAUUGUAACAUUAUUGUAACAUUAUUGAAGGUUUGGGGAACUUGUUAUUGUAACAUUAUUGAAGGUUUGGGGAAC